rnacentral:rRNA from 1 species
CCGUGCUGGAGCGGCGACGAGUGCGAAUGCCGGCACGAGUAGCGGAAGGGCGGUGAGAAUCCGCCCCGCCGGAGAGUGCCGAAGGGUUCCGCAGCGAUGGUCGUCAGCUGCGGGUGAGGCGGUCCUCAGCUGAGGGCGGAAGCCGUAGGCGAGGGGCAGCCGGUUAAGAUUCCGGCCCCACCGGCGCCCGUGUGAGCGAAGGGGGGACGCUCCACUGAGGGUCUGGCGGUCGGAGGGACCGUCCAAGCCUGGGUCGUGGGCCGAGGGAAAGCCCGGCCGGGGAGCGGCACCAGGCGAGUGCGAGGUGGGGGUGAAGCCCUGCCGAGCAGACCUGGCGGUGGAGCCGAGAAAAGCCUCUAGCGAGGGCGGCGGUGACCGUACCGCAAACCGACACAGGUCGGCGCGUGGAGGACACGGAGGCGAGCGGGAGAACCCCCGUCAAGGAACUCGGCAAAUUGCCCCCGUAACUUCGGGAGAAGGGGGGCCCCGGUAGGGUGGUGAGCCCGAGGGGGUUGCAGAGAGCAGGCCCGCGCGACUGGUUACCAAAACCACAGGUCUCGGCGAAGGCGGAAAGCCGACGUAUCGGGGCUGACGCCUGCCCAGUGCCGGAAGGUGAACCGGAGGGGUGGAGAGCCCCGAAGGGAAGCCCCGGUGAACGGCGGCCGUAACUAUAACGGUCCUAAGGUAGCGAAAUUCCUCGUCGGGUAAAUUCCGACCCGCACGAAAGGCGUCACGACGUGGGCACUGUCUCGACGGGGGGCCCGGUGAAACUGCUGGACCCGUGCAGAAGCGGGUGACCCGCGGCGGGACAAAAAGACCCCGUGGAGCUUGACUGCAGCUUGCCAUUGGGUGCGGGCCCGGCCUGUGCAGGAUAGGUGGGAGGCGGGGAAGCGGGGCCGCCAGGUCCCGUGGAGCCGGCGGUGAGAUACCACCCUGGUCGGGUUUGCGCCCUCACCUGGCCCGUGGGAACGCGGGCAGGGACCGUGGCUGGUGGGCAGUUUGACUGGGGCGGUCGCCUCCUAAAAGGUAACGGAGGCGCCCAAAGGUCCCCUCAGGCCGGAUGGCAAUCGGCCGGAGCGUGCAUGGGCAGCAAGGGGGCUUGACUGCGAGGGGGACAUCCCGAGCAGGGCCGAAAGGCGGGCCAAGUGACCCCACGGUACCGAGUGGGCGGGCCGUGGAUCAACGGAUAAAAGCUACCCCGGGGAUAACAGGCUGAUCGGGCCCAAGAGUUCACAUCGACGGCCCGGUUUGGCACCUCGAUGUCGGCUCGUCGCAUCCUGGGGCUGGAGGAGGUCCCAAGGGUUGGGCUGUUCGCCCAUGAAAGCGGCACGUGAGCUGGGUUCAGAACGUCGUGAGACAGUUCGGUCUCUAUCCGCCGCGGGCGGUGGACGGUUGCGGGGAGCUGGCCCUAGUACGAGAGGACCGGGCUGGACGGACCGCUGGUGUGCCAGUUGUCGGCCAACCGGCAGCGCUGGGUAGCCAGGUCCGGACGGGAUAACCGCUGACAGCAUCUAAGCGGGAAGCCCACCCCAAGAUGAGCCGUCCCACCCCACCAAGGGGGUAAGGCCCCGGGGAGAUGACCCGGUAGCGAGGCGGCAGGUGGACAGCGGGUAACCGACUGGAGCCGAGCCGUCCUCAUG